UACGAAGGGUGCAAGCGUUACUCGGAAUUACUGGGCGUAAAGCGUGCGUAGGUGGUUUGUUAAGUCUGUUGUGAAAGCCCCGGGCUCAACCUUGGAAUGGCAAUGGAUACUGGCAGGCUAGAGUGCGGUAGAGGGUAGUGGAAUUCCCGGUGUAGCGGUGAAAUGCGUAGAGAUCGGGAGGAACACCAGUGGCGAAGGCGGCUACCUGGACCAGCACUGACACUGAGGCACGAAAGCGUGGGGAGCAAACAGG
rnacentral:rRNA from 1 species